ensembl:lncRNA
CUCAAGUGUAAAGCUGUAACCUUGUGUUUAUUUAACAUCUAGGUGUGAACUGUGUACAUUUGUAAGAGAUAAGUGCAUUUCAUCCAUUACUUCUUAUUCUCGAUCUUAUUUCCAACCCACAGAAAUACGUCAGUUCACAGAUAAAGAAGAUAGGAACUGAAUGAAGUCGUUCGUACGAUUAGUUAGCACAAACAGCUGUAGCUCUUCUGAGCUACACCCUGCUUUUUCAAUCACACCACCGAAUCAUUUCCCAUUUUUUUUGUUGCAUCAAUGAAACGCUCUUCCGUGUUCUUUUACCUCCAACAGAACUCAAAAGUGAAUGUCUGAACUCCUCCUCAGAGCGCUUGUUUUUAUUCUCCACGCUGAUCUGCAUGGCCGUGUACUUUUA